UCUUAUGGAGGAGCAAAGAAAGUUGUUUCUUAAGAUGGAACCUGUUUCUGGUGAAGAUGCUAUGAA
rnacentral:pre_miRNA from 1 species